CCAUUCGUUCCCCAUCCACGAAAUCCCUAGAUCUCUCCUGCUGUUCCCCACGCACGCCGGCGCCCCACACCCGACCGCCUCCUGCGGCUACCGCCGUCCGGCGGUCUAUCCCACCGCUGCCCCACGCGCCCUUCCUCUAUAGCAUCGCCCCACGCCGCCCUGUCCCUGCAGCGCAACCUAACUCCGUCCUGCCUCUCUCCGCCGCCGGCUCCACACCCUCGUGCUCUCUCUCUGGUUGGUCGCCUCUCUCCAACAUCCCUGGCCUGACCUCCCCAUCUCCACCAUCUAGCUCACAAAGACCCACGCUGCGGCAGAUUUGGAUCGUGGCAGCGUGCGCUUGGUCAAGGGCAUCCCUCUCUAUCUUUGGCUUGGCAGGGGCACUAAAGCGGCUGAGGAGGGACAAUGGCAAGCGCAAGCGGAAAAGCUAAAGAUGAUGGGGCCACGGAGGAACAACUGAAAGUGGUAGAGUAUAAACUACAGAGAAGUAGGACCAUAGAAGAAAAUGAAGUAAGUCAUCCUGCUGAAUCAAAACUGUAGUAUAUCCAUCCACAUACUAAAACUGUAGUAUAUCCCUGCAGCAGACUUUGUUCUGGACAUAAACAAACACAUAUGCAUGUAAUCAUUCUCAAAACACAAACAAUAUGCUCCCUCCGUCCCAACAUAAAUGUCUCAACCAUAGUACAACUUUGUACUAGAGUUAGUACAAAGUUGAGACACUUAUUUUGGGACGGAGGGAGUAUAUUAUAACAAAACAGUAGGCAGUGUUGUUGUAAACAUGUCUACUCAUCAUAAAUCUCCUUACCUUUUUUCUUAUAGUCUCGCAGUGCUAUCACCAAAAAGAACCGCGCCAAUGAAGUGCCUCAUACAUCCGGGAGCAAGAGUCACAAACAAUAUAUAUAUAUAUAUAUAUAUAUAUAAUUUUCUUGUAGCCUCCUAGAUCUUCUCAUGAGGUUUUUGUCAAUGUUGAGAUGACAAGGGAUGCAACGCUGCCUUAUGAAUAUGAUGGUUUAUGAUUUGUCGCCGAUGUUGUCACAAGGUCCAUUGCAUGGCCAUCUACCAAGAUGAAACCCUACAAGCCAGGGGCAUCUUCCUCAUCCCGCCACUAAGAUCUCUGAUGGUGGUGGAAAGACAACAUUUGUUUAUUUCAUUGUCGAUAAGAAAACAUGAGAAUAUAUCUUUUCUUCAUCAUCAUUGUCGCAAGGACGCUAGUACUUAGCUUCUUGUAGUUAUAACAAAAUGAGUGUAGAAGUCGACCUAGCUACAGCUACAACAUUUAUUUAUGUUCCCUGUUAUGCACCUCAACAUGAAUUAUUUUCAGUUUCACACCAUAACACAAAUCGCCAGUGCACAACAUUUUUUUCACCAUGUGAUAUAAAUCAUGUGAAGAUAGUCAUGAAAUGGUUCAAGCAUCCAAUUAUUUCUCAAAACUUGGGGUCGCGUCUCCUGGUCGACUUUGGUUUUUCUUAGUUUGACACUUCUGUAAGGAUCCCAAGUUUACAGGCGUGCAAAUCAAAUUUAUUCACCUCAAAGUUAGCUGGUUGUAUAUUAAUUCUGUUUCUAGGUUUCAUGCCUGAUGCUCUUUACUCUCAAGUUGAACAGGUAGUACAUUAGUACUCACUAAAAAGGAAAUUUAAUCAGCUUGCAUGUAUAUUAAUUGUAUGCUUUUUUGUCUUUCCAGGAUGCUGUCAGGUUGUGUAUGGAAGACAAGAGGAAUAAGAAAGAACCAUGAAGCUGUCAGUUUGCGUCAAGUAGAUAUCUUCUGUAAUGGAGGAAAACGAAUGCAUCUUGUAGCUACCAUUUUGUAAAGGAUAUCUUGUGUAAGACCAAGCAUUGAAUCGUCAGACAUGCAUCUAUCAUUUUAUAAACCUAUCGGGUGUUUUGGUCACCUAGACAAAUGUUUCCUCUUAUUUACUUACCUCUAUGAUGAGAAUUAUUAGUGUUAUUUUUGUUUGGUUCUGGUUUAAUAUUUGAGAGUACAUGCAAGUUAUUGUAACUUGAUA